AAAAAAGUUUUUCUCCAUCCGAGCAGAUGACAUCAUCAUCAUCAUCUUUUAACAGCAUUUAAAAAAAAAAAUGUUGCUGUUGUGUUGCAUGUGUCAAUAGCAGAUGUGAUUCUGUAGAUGCACCGGAAAAUUGAUUCCUGCAAUUUAAUGGGCUUCACCCGUGAAAGUGGCUAAUUCGUUUCGUAAAAGUAAAUGUGUUUUGGACGUUCUUUGUGGAUUUAAUUCAGAUAUUUCUUCUUUUGAAAUAGGCCUCACACUAUAAUGUUACAAAUGUUUGAGUAAAGAACCACUCCAAGUAGAUCAUCUUGAGUUUCAUCAUAUCUUCAAGUUCAGCAGAUCAACACGUCUCCUGGUUUUAGUGGUAAAAUCAGAAAGAAAUCCUUUCCAACAACUUACAUAGCUCAAUUUCACAAGCUGAAAGAGAAAAUAUUGUUCUUUAAUGACCUAUAAUGUUCUAUUUAGCACAAGUAAGUACAAGCCAAAACCUAAAAUAAUUACAGGCAUAUUGAAAAAUUGGGAAACAGAAAAUCAAUGAAAUCUUUACAUAACUACAUGGAAAAUAAAUGAAUCUUUAUGAGCUGUCUUAAGGAGUUUAGUAAGGUUUUAGGAGCUGGCUGUGUAAGUCAUGUGAGGGCUUUAGUCUUUGUGCUCGACAGAAAUAGCUUUGCACUAAAAUCCCAGCAGCAUCUCCAGGGGUCAAAAGAGCCCCAUUUUCAGACCAGAAGGACUGAAUCCCAUCUGAACAUUAACCAGACUUAAUGUUCACUGCUAAAAUCUAUUUUAGAGAUUAAACAAAUGAAUUACCUGAAUAUUCAUUAUCUCAUUACCUGACAUAGCUUUUGGGACAUUAAUGUACACAGCCAAGUCACAGCCCUGUCUCACUUUUAUUUAUUCUCAUUCUCAUGUUAAUGCAGAAAAUUCACCAUAAUAGGACGAGACGGUUGUGUAAGCAGCACAUGCCUAUAGGCUACAUGAUGAGGAAAACCAUCUAAAAACACUUUGAAACCAGCAGACUUUGACUUGAAUAUCCAUUAAUGCUGCAUGAUUGAUUGAAUUAAGAUUGAAAUCGCAAUAUGGCUUUGCGCUAUUUCCCAGCCUUAAAAGGCUGAGUUUGAAAAUAUAGACUGCGUCUCAAUGUUCAGGUAACACCAAGAAACUAGUGCUUUACUUGUAUUUAUGAAGAUCUGAGAUAUACUAGAGAGAUCGCAAUGGAAAAUAAUAAUCUAAGAGAAUGAAAAUACAGUACGAAAUGAUGCAUGCCACCUUCAAUCGGACAUUUGACCAAAUAAACAAUUUUUUAAACACACAAGGGACCAUAAAAAGGACAUACGCAAAAGUGACAGUGGACAGAGCAACAAUGUUUUGGGCUCGGACACCAACCAGCCUGCUAACUAACCGGGGCAUUGAAUUCAGCCAGUAACGCUCGUAUAUACUAUAAUGCAAUUACAUAACCUGUAAUCUUUAGUGUAGUAUUGUCUUUGACAUUCUUGUUGAGCUAUGUAAUAACGUUGAUUGCAUUAAUCCAUAGGUUUAAAUAUGUCCUCAAAAACAAGAGUUAAAGCUGUAUACAAACACACUGUGAUGCAACAUGUUUGUUUAUGUUUGAGGUAGUCAAUGAAACUUCCACAUAGACAGUAACCCAUUACGUCACCAUUCGGCUCUUAGUUCAGUUUACAAUAGGCUCCAGAUUUCACACAGGCUCGGCACGAGAACCAUCACAAUUUCGAUGGAAAAGGGCUAAAUGUAAGGAUGUGGCUUUUGGCCUUUUAUGUGUUUUCUGUCUUUCUGUGUCUCCCCCUGUAUGUUUAUGAGUUGGUCUGCUCCGGUGACGUGGCCUCUUCACAAGCCUGCUCUAUUUAUACCCCGAGUUAUUCAUCUCCAGAUUGUUCAGUCUGCUUGUGUGAUCCACCAUCCAACCCACCAACCUGUAUUCAACCACUUACCACUUCAGUCAUCUUCAGAUCCACUCUCCAUCAAGCGUGCCACACCAAACCAUCCAGCUCACCUCUCUGCUCCGCCAUUACCUCCUGCCUGCCCAGCCCUCUUCCUCCAGUGGCAUAUCAAGCACCUGUCUGUUCAUCUUCCAUCUCAUUCCCCAGUUUGUAUAUAAAUACAAUUUUAUCAUAAUCUGUGUCUGUGUUUAACAUUUGGGUUUCAGGCAUAACAGAACAAUCUGGCCACCAUUGACCCAGCUGACACAGACUCUAUCCAUAAAGCUCUCUCUGGUCCUCGUGGUGGUGUGGUGACUCCCCUCAAUCUGGGUGGCAGAGGACUGUUGCCUCCAUGUCUGAGACAUUCAACCCGCGUUAUCAAGUGGCUUGUUGAGCGCAUUACAGUGGAGACGUAGCGCAUGUGGAGGCUUCACUCUAUCUACCGUGGCAUCCACUGACAAAUCUCACCAUGUGCCCCACCAAGAGCGAACCACAUGGAGGUGACUCUACCCUCCCUAUCAACCAGGCCAAUUUGGUUGCUUAGGAGACCUGGCUGGAGUCACUCAGCACACCCUGUCAUUCGAACUCACGACUCCAGGGGUGGUAGUCAGCAUCUUUAUUCACUGAGCCCCCGAUGUUCUUGUGUUUUUAAGAGCUUUCUUUCUUGAAAAUAAUCAUUAAUUCAUGUUGUCGUGGAUCGCUUGUGAACCGGACAUAAAACGAUUAAAGUUUUGCAAAACAACUGUUAUUGAAGGAUGGGGCAGAUAAACACUUCAAAAACAUCAGGAUAGACUGAAGCCUUGGUCUGCGGCUCUUUGGAUAAAGGGCUCCUCAAGAUAGGAUCUUACUUCCAGUAUAGCAUCUGCUGUGGAAUUCCUUCUUGCAGUGUCUCCUGUUGCUUUUUCAUCAAAGAACCUCCAAACAGCAGACGUUUGUGGCACCACUUCUAGUGCCCCUGCUCCCUCUUCUCCCUCUUGGCCUCCUGGUGGUGUAGCCGGCUGGCUGCUGGGGCUGCAUCUUGUUGCUGCUGUUGUUACUCUUUGAAGGGCCUCAUCAACAGCUCUGUAUCAUUAAAGGGGCAGUGGUGGCUCAGUGGUUGAGGCUCAGGGUUACUGACCAGAAGGUCAGGGGUUCAAGCCCCAGCACCACCAAGAUGCCACUGUUGGGCCCUUGAGCAAGGCACUUAACUCCAGGUUGCUCUGGAGGGAUUGUCCCUGUAAUAAGUGCACUGUAAGUCGCUUUGGAUAAAAGUGUCUGCCAAAUGCAUAAAUGUAAAGGCCAGGUUUUUGCACCUCUGGUCCAUUACAGUGGUUUCUGAAAGAACAGCAUUGUAUUCCAUUCUGUGGAACUUUCUUUCCAAAGAUGCACAACGAGCAGUCACCAACUCUCUCACUUUCCCUUUGGUUACUGUUCCUCCUGUCUGGUGGUGGGCUGUUGUUCUCUGCAGACCCUUGCAUUUUGGAGGCCGUCACGUAGCUGAAAAAAAAGAAGAAAAAACUUGGAAUUAUGCUUUGUUUUAUUAUGUGGUAUAUGGGCUUUGUUCAGUUUAUUCUUGUCUAUUAUUACUGCCAUUCACCAUAAUAUGCACCUUUUAUAUGCAAUAAUAAAAUAAAUAAUGUUAAAACAAUUGUCCACUGUGACCUGCUCAAAGGGUUCCAGAACAGUGCACGUCUCUUGCACUUCCUCCCAUUCUUCUUAUCUCAGAGCAUCAACAGGUGCAUUGAUAAUGGCCAAGGUAGAGAUGAUUGCAUCCUUGGACUUUGUAUUAAUUUAUAUAUAUAUAAAAACAAUUUUUUUUUAAAUGGCUCCCAUCGUUUACAUAAAGGAAUACACAUCACUAGUAUAGGUGGCCCUGCAAGACAUGUCAUGUCCCCCACUGAACCCCGAAUAUUGAGUCAGUCUGGGAUUACAUAAAGAGACAGAAGCAAUUGAGAUAAAUAAAAAAAACUGUGGCAAAUUCUCCAAGAAGAAUCCUAUCUGCCAACAACCAAGAAAUUGUGUCCAGGUGUCACAAUUCCCCAUUGUUUGCUCUAUGUUUCUCCCCUGUCACCUGUCCCGAACUACACUUCCCAUAAUCCCCUGCCCUCAUUACUGCCAGUGUCAUUGUUUCCACCUGUGUUUAAUUUAAUCAUCAUCCCUGUGUAUUUAAGCCAUGUUGUUUGUUCAUUCAUUGUCGGUUAUUGAAUGUUAUAGUUGUCCUCAAUGUUUCUCAUGUUUACACUUUGUUUUCCCCUCGUGGAUGUUUUGUUUGUUCCCUGUAUUGUUUUGUUAUUUUGUGUUAUCCGGUUCACCUUUUUCAUUAAAAAGCUGCA